rnacentral:rRNA from 1 species
CAUCUGAAAUCAAGCAGGAUCACCCGCUGAACUUAAGCAUAUCAAUAAGCGGAGGAGAAGAAAUUAACUAAGAUUGCCCUAGUAACGGCGAGUGAAGCGGCAAAAGCCCAAACUGGAAAUCUUGUACACCCCGUGUGCACGAAUUGUAAUCUAAAGGAUGCUUGCUCACCGGGUGGUGGCGCAGAAGUGCCCUCGAACGGGCCGCCAGAGAGGGUGACAGCCCCGUAUGUGGUGCCACUACCUAACGAGUGGGUGUUCAAAGAGUCGGGUUGUUUUGUACUACAGCCCUAAGUGGGNAGAUAAACUUCUUCUAAGGCUAAAUAUAUAUGGGAAACCGAUAGCGAACAAGUACUGUGGAAGGAAAGAUGAAAAGAACUUUUGUAAAGAGAGUCAAAAAGACUUGNAAUCGUUGNGAAGGAAGNCGGUAGAAAUUUAUCCUUCGGGUGGAGGUCGGUGUNAGUUG